CAAAGAUGAAGACACAUACGUCCCUGCCUUCCAGGAGUUAGCAAUCCCCUGGGCUUUUGUCUUUCUAAUGACCCGGUUCCUGUUGGGAUCUGUUUACAAGACUCUGGAAGCCAAUCCCAUCAUUCCGGUUCCACACUGGCACUGCAAGAAGUAUAUUACCUUCCGGACACCAGAAGCGGGAGAGGUUGCCCAGGGAGGCAGAGCAGGUCAGGACAUU